AUUGAACGCUGGCGGCAUGCCUUACACAUGCAAGUCGAACGACAGCACGGGAGCAAUCCUGGUGGCGAGUGGCGAACGGGUGAGUAAUAUAUCGGAACGUGCCCAGUCGUGGGGAUAACGUAGCGAAAGCUACGCUAAUACCGCAUACGAUCUAUGGAUGAAAGCGGGGGAUCGCAAGACCUCGCGCGAUUGGAGCGGCCGAUAUCAGAUUAGGUAGUUGGUGAGGUAAAGGCUCACCAAGCCGACGAUCUGUAGCUGGUCUGAGAGGACGACCAGCCACACUGGGACUGAGACACGGCCCAGACUCCUACGGGAGGCAGCAGUGGGGAAUUUUUGGACAAUGGACGCAAGUCUGAUCCAGCCAUUCCGCGUGCAGGAUGAAGGCCCUCGGGUUGUAAACUGCUUUUGUACGGAACGAAACGGUGAGCUCUAAUACAGUUUGCUAAUGACGGUACCGUAAGAAUAAGCACCGGCUAACU
rnacentral:rRNA from 1 species